rnacentral:rRNA from 1 species
GUCUAUGGCCAUACUACCCUGAACACACCUGAUCUCAGAAGCUAAGCAGUGUCAGGCCUGGUUAGUACUUGAGUGGGAGACCGCCUGGGAAUACUGAGUGCCGUGGGCU